rnacentral:rRNA from 1 species
GAAUCAACGCUGGCGGCGUGCCUAACACAUGCAAGUCGAGCGAGAAAGUGUAGCAAUACAUGAGUAAAGCGGCGCACGGGUGAGUAACACGUGGGUAAUCUGCCCUCGAGUGGGGAAUAACACCGGGAAACCGGUGCUAAUACCGCAUACGAUCACGAUGUCUUCGGAUUUUGUGAUGAAAGGAGCAAUUCGCUCUUGGAGGAGCCCGCGGCUGAUUAGCUAGUUGGUGAGGUAAUGGCUCACCAAGGCAACGAUCAGUAGCCGGUCUGAGAGGACGGUCGGCCACACAGGAACUGAGACACGGUCCAGACUCCUACGGGAGGCAGCAGUGGGGAAUUUUUCGCAAUGGGGGCAACCCUGACGAAGCAACGCCGCGUGGAUGAUGAAGUAUCUCGGUACGUAAAAUCCUUUCGACGGGGAAGAAAACCGCAAGGUUUGACGGUACCCGUAGAAGAAGCCCCGGCUAACUCCGUGCCAGCAGCCGCGGUAAUACGGGGGGGGCAAGCGUUGUUCGGAAUUACUGGGCGUAAAGGGCGCGUAGGCGGUUCGCUAAGUUGAAUGUGAAAACUCUGGGCUUAACCCAGAGCCUGCAUUCAAUACUGGCGGGCUAGAGUUCUGGAGGGGAUA